AGAGUUUGAUCAUGCUCAGAUUGAACGCUGGCGGCAGGCCUAACACAUGCAAGUCGAGCGGAAACGAGUUAUCUGAACCUUCGGGGAACGAUAACGGCGUCGAGCGGCGGACGGGUGAGUAAUGCCUAGGAAAUUGCCCUGAUGUGGGGGAUAACCAUUGGAAACGAUGGCUAAUACCGCAUAAUGCCUUCGGGCCAAAGAGGGGGACCUUCGGGCCUCUCGCGUCAGGAUAUGCCUAGGUGGGAUUAGCUAGUUGGUGAGGUAAAGGCUCACCAAGGCGACGAUCCCUAGCUGGUCUGAGAGGAUGAUCAGCCACACUGGAACUGAGACACGGUCCAGACUCCUACGGGAGGCAGCAGUGGGGAAUAUUGCACAAUGGGCGCAAGCCUGAUGCAGCCAUGCCGCGUGUGUGAAGAAGGCCUUCGGGUUGUAAAGCACUUUCAGUCGUGAGGAAGGCGGUACAGUUAAUAGCUGUAUUGUUUGACGUUAGCGACAGAAGAAGCACCGGCUAACUCCGUGCCAGCAGCCGCGGUAAUACGGAGGGUGCGAGCGUUAAUCGGAAUUACUGGGCGUAAAGCGCAUGCAGGUGGUUUGUUAAGUCAGAUGUGAAAGCCCGGGGCUCAACCUCGGAAUAGCAUUUGAAACUGGCAGACUAGAGUACUGUAGAGGGGGGUAGAAUUUCA
rnacentral:rRNA from 1 species